rnacentral:misc_RNA from 1 species
UCCUGGUUUCCCAGGCAGUCCCACCAGAGUGCCCCUAAAAGGGUAGCAACUGAUAGCAAGGGUUGCGCUCGUUAUAGGACUUAACCCAACAUCUCACGACACGAGCUGACGACAGCCAUGCAGCACCUGUGCAAAUGUCUCUGGUUUCCCAGAGAAGACUAUAUUUCUAUAGCUGUCAUAUGCAUGUCAAGCCUAGGUAAGGUUCCUCGCGUAGUGUCGAAUUAAACCACAUGUUCCACCGCUUGUGCGGACCCCCGUCAAUUCCUUUGAGUUUUAAUCUUGCGACCGUAGUCCCCAGGCGGAUCACUUAACGCGUUAGCUGCGACACUAAUCCCGCUAAGCGGAACUAACGUCUAGUGAUCAUCGUUUACGGCGUGGACUAC